AGCAGCCGCGGUAAUUCCAGCUCCAAUAGCGUAUAUUAAAGUUGUUGCAGUUAAAAAGCUCGUAGUUGAAUUUCGGGAUCAUCAGGUUGGUCGUGCCUCUGGUAUGUACUUGCUUCGAUGGUCCCUCCUUCUUGAAGAACCGUAAUGCCAUUAAUUUGGUGUUGCGGGGAAACAGGACUGUUACUUUGAAAAAAUUAGAGUGUUUAAAGCAGGCAAUCGCUUGAAUACAUUAGCAUGGAAUAAUGAAAUAGGACGUUCGAUCCUAUUUUGUUGGUUUCUAGGAUUGACGUAAUGAUUAAUAGGGAUAGUUGGGGGCAUUAGUAUUCAAUUGUCAGAGGUGAAAUUCUUGGAUUUAUUGAAGACUAACUACUGCGAAAGCAUUUGCCAAGGAUGUUUUCAUUAAUCAAGAACGAAAGUUAGGGGAUCGAAGACGAUCAGAUACCGUCGUAGUCUUAACCAUAA
rnacentral:rRNA from 1 species